AGACCAAAUCCAGACCGCCGAAGGCAAAGCUAAGGAGGGACCAUCUCCUCCGUCGAGGACCUGAUGGCUACGCCCAUCCUCCACAGAUGGGUGGGGGCAUCGGCAGGAGGCCUUCAGUAAAACACACGUCUCCACGACAACAUGGACAACAUGACCGAGUUUGACACCCUUGACCCCUUCAGCAGUGAGGCGGCGUCCUCCGAGACAGUUAAACCAAACAUCUUCCAGGUUUCUCUUACAGGAUUUCUGAUUCUGGAGAUGGUGCUGGGCCUAAGUUCUAACCUCACCGUGCUGGUUCUGUACUGUCUCCAGCAGAACCUUAUCAGUUCUGUCUCCAACAUCAUCACCAUGAACCUGCAUGUACUGGAUUUGCUGGUGAGAACUCCUUUAGUUCAGCUUUUUGUUUGUUUGUUUACUGUUUAACACCCAAACAAACUAUAAGCAGUAUCUACAGUAAAGGAGCCACUGAAGGUCUCAAAUCAGACAUCACUGGAGAGCAGAGGUUAUGAACUGUGCCAUAAAAAUAGCUGACACCCUUCUCUACCUACAUUAAAUUGCUGCUAGUUUGAUGCAAAUUCAAACCACUUUCAAGUUUUUUUUUCCAAGGAAGCUGCCAAAGUCAGUUGAGUUUCACAUCAUGAGUCAGCUCUGCAAUGAGAGGAAGUGCCUAAGCUGAAAUUACAAACAUUGAUGAGCGUUUUGUCUCCUCACAAGUUCUGUUCUUGAGCAUCCUCAAGUGGAAAAUCAUAUUUUCAUCUCCACAUGCAUUUUAAUCG